rnacentral:misc_RNA from 1 species
AAACUGCGAUACGUAAUGUGAAUUGCAGAACUCUGUGAAUCAUCUAACUUUUGAACGCAUCUUGCACUUGAAGGGUAAAAUCUUCAAGUAUGCCUGUUUGAGAACCAUUUUUCUUUCUCAUUUCAUCUCUCUUUCUGGGAGAAUGGUAUGGCCAUUUGAGUGUCAAUCUUUUUUGGUUUGUCACUUGAAAUGCAUUAAUUUCUUCGACCAAUUCAUUGGCAGCUUGAAUGGGGGAAUAUUAUUCAAUGAAAUGAUUUCCAAGUUUGUGAAGGUUUUUCAAUCUUUCUUACUUUGGUCUUUCAUUGAGAACUUUUAGUUCAAGCAAAUCAAAGCUUUGGUCUGAAAGGGGAAAAGAGGCCUAUUUUUACUCCUAGGCAAAAACAAAAAAGCAUGGUCUCAAAUCAGGUAAGAGUACCCACUGAAUUUAA